CUCAGGCUGCUCGAAUUCGAGCUCGAAAGUCCGCGGUACCGUCGCAGUUUAUCGCCGAAUUCGAGUGACGGCUUCAUCUUCGACUGUGGCACCGACCGCGGGAAGGAUUUAUCUUGGCCGAGCGACUUCGGAAGAAGUACUUGUACCUAGACGUCCGUUUCGCCUUCUACAACUCCAUCGACGCCGGAAGCCCGUCGUCAACGUCUUCGUCAACUCCUGUACUGCACCGACGUUUCCGACAUCGCCGUCGACCACCUGUGCCAUCAGCGAUUGUGGAUGUGCUGAUUGCAACGAGUGUUUUUGUGAAGAGUGUACCAACUUCUCUCCUCGCCAAGG